AAACAGUUCAUUUUUCAGUUUUUAAAUACAGUGUUUUGACUCUUCGUCUUAUUUGAAAUUUUUUUACGAUUAAUAUUUUUAUUGUUACUCGAUAAUAAAACAUGAAUAGUACUUUAUGCGAAACUAAUUUUUUUAAGUUUUUGUACAAAUUUUUCAAAUAAGACGAAUGGUCAAACUUUGGACAUAUAAAUCGAAAAAUGAAGUUAUU
rnacentral:pre_miRNA from 1 species